rnacentral:lncRNA from 1 species
GCGGAAGCCGCCGGGGCUGGCGGCCGGGCCGCGGCGCGGCGGGCGCGGGAGCCCGGCGCUGCGUGGGGAAGAGGUGCUGUUGGCCCCGCUCGCCCUGCUACGCAGCCUGGGCGGACGGACCGUUUCUGCAGGAUUCUGGCGAACCUGUACUGAGUGACAAGGCGGUCUCGCUCCUUGUGUAGCUAACUAGGUCACUGUCAGCACUUAAUUACUGUUUGUUUCAUUUUAGUGCAUGCCUUAUGAAUAAGCCGGCUAUUAGGCUGAUGCUUCAAGUUACACUAUCCAGCACCAAGGAAAUAACAGAUGGAAAAAUGGAUUACAUAAACACUGUUGUAAAUAUGUAGGCAUCCAUCCUUUCCACUGCCUGGGUGCCAGAAGAGGGAGCACUGAGAACAGUGGAGCCCCAGCCUUAAUUCCAGUCCCCACUGCUGCCUCAGAGGAGAGUUACAUAGCAGAGGAUGAAGCAUUCAGGGUUGGAACAGUUCUCAGUUCAACUGCGGUUACAGCAUCUCAGUCCAGACCGCCUGGAACAGUUUGA